rnacentral:rRNA from 1 species
AUUGAACGCUGGCGGCAUGCCUUACACAUGCAAGUCGAACGGCAGCACGGGUGCUUGCACCUGGUGGCGAGUGGCGAACGGGUGAGUAAUACAUCGGAACAUGUCCUGUAGUGGGGGAUAGCCCGGCGAAAGCCGGAUUAAUACCGCAUACGAUCUACGGAUGAAAGCGGGGGACCUUCGGGCCUCGCGCUAUAGGGUUGGCCGAUGGCUGAUUAGCUAGUUGGUGGGGUAAAGGCCUACCAAGGCGACGAUCAGUAGCUGGUCUGAGAGGACGACCAGCCACACUGGGACUGAGACACGGCCCAGACGCCUACGGGAGGCAGCAGUGGGGAAUUUUGGACAAUGGGCGAAAGCCUGAUCCAGCAAUGCCGCGGGUGUGAAGAAGGCCUUCGGGUUGUAAAGCACUUUUGUCCGGAAAGAAAUCCUUGGCCCUAAUACGGGCGGGGGAUGACGGUACCGGAAGAAUAAGCACCGGCGAACUACGU